rnacentral:rRNA from 1 species
AUCCUGGCUUACGAUGAACGCUGGCGGCGUGCCUAACACAUGCAAGUCGAACGGAGUUAUAUUCAUGAAGUUUCGGAUGGAUUUAUGUAACUAGUGGCGGACGGGUGAGUAACGCGUGGGUAACCUGCCUCAGUACAGGGGGAUAACAGCUGGAAACGGCUGCUAACACCGCAUAAGCAUACAGCAUCGCAUGAUGCAGUGUGAAAAUAUUAAUAGGUAUGAGAUGGGCCCGCGUCUGAUUAGCUGGUUGGUGAGGUAAUGGCUCACCAAGGCGACGAUCAGUAGCCGGCUUGAGAGAGUGACCGGCCACAUUGGGACUGAGACACGGCCCAAACUCCUACGGGAGGCAGCAGUGGGGAAUAUUGCACAAUGGGGGAAACCCUGAUGCCAGCGACGCCGCGUGAGUGAAGAAGUAUUUCGGUAUGUAAAGCUCUAUCAGCAGGGAAGAAAAUGACGGUACCUGACUAAGAAGCCCCGGCUAACUACGUGCCAGCCGCCGC